GAUGAAGAACGUAGCGAAAUGCGAUACUUGGUGUGAAUUGCAGAAUCCCGUGAACCAUCGAGUCUUUGAACGCAAGUUGCGCCCGAAGCCAUUAGGCCGAGGGCACGCCUGCCUGGGCGUCACACGUCGUUGCCCCCCAUCUACUCCUUCGGGAUUGCGGGGGGCGGAUGAUGGCCUCCCGUGCGCCUCGUCGCGCGGUUGGCAUAAAUGCCAAGUCCUCGGCGACGCACGCCACGACAAUCGGUGGUUGCGAAACCUCGGUUGCCCGUCGUGUGCGGUCGUCGCGCAUCGAGGACUCGAAAAAAUUGCCGGGCUCCGGCUCGGCUUUCAACGCGACCCCAGGUCAGGCGGGGUUACCCGCUGAAUUUAAGCAUAUCAAUAAGCGGAGGA
rnacentral:misc_RNA from 1 species